rnacentral:sRNA from 1 species
GCUGGGUGUGGUGGCACACACCUGUAGUCCCAGCUACCUGGGAGGCUAAGGGAGGAGGAUUGCAAGUUUGAGGUGAGACUCAGCAACUUAGCGAAACCCUGUCUCAA